rnacentral:rRNA from 1 species
UCAUUAACGAGAGGGGCACUUGCCCCGGGGCUUCGAGCCCCACCUCUUUCACCCUGUGCGUACCUACCUUUGUUGCUUUGGCGGGCCUCGGGCUCUCCCGACGUCGGCCUGGGAUCACCCCCGGGCUUGCGAGUGCUCGCCGAAGGUCGUCUCAAAACUCUGUAUUCGAUGCAGUCCGAGUAACACACAAUAACUAAAAACUUUCAACAACGGAUCUCUUGGUUCUGGCAUCGAUGAAGAACGCAGCGAAAUGCGAUAAGUAAUGUGAAUUGCAGAAUUCAGUGAAUCAUCGAAUCUUUGAACGCACAUUGCGCCCCUUGGUAUUCCGAGGGGCAUGCCUGUUCGAGCGUCAUUGCACCCCUCAAGCUCUGCUUGGUAUUGGGUUCUCGUCCCCUGGACGUGCCCGAAAAUCAGUGGCGGACCCGCCGGACUUCAAGCGUAGUAGACCGCAAUCUCGCUUUGGAAGCCUUCGGUUGCGUCUUGACCAGCCAACCUUGGAUUUUUACAAUGGUUGACCUCGGAUCAGGUAGGGAUACCCGCUGAACUUAAGCAUAUCAU